GAUGAACGCUGGCGGCGUGCCUAAUACAUGCAAGUCGAGCGAACAGACGAGGAGCUUGCUCCUCUGACGUUAGCGGCGGACGGGUGAGUAACACGUGGAUAACCUACCUAUAAGACUGGGAUAACUUCGGGAAACCGGAGCUAAUACCGGAUAAUAUAUUGACCCGCAUGGUUCAAUAGUGAAAGACGGUUUUGCUGUCACUUAUAGAGGGAUCCGCGCCGCAUUAGCUAGUUGGUAAGGUAACGGCUUACCAAGGCGACGAUGCGUAGCCGACCUGAGAGGGUGAUCGGCCACACUGGAACUGAGACACGGUCCAGACUCCUACGGGAGGCAGCAGUAGGGAAUCUUCCGCAAUGGGCGAAAGCCUGACGGAGCAACGCCGCGUGAGUGGUGAAGGUCUUCGGAUCGUAAAACUCUGUUAUUAGGGAAGAACAAAUGUGUAAGUAACUAUGCACGUCUUGACGGUACCUAAUCAGAAAGCCACGGCUAACUACGUG
rnacentral:rRNA from 1 species